AAGUCGUAACAAGGUUUCCGUAGGUGAACCUGCGGAAGGAUCAUUAAAAAAUCGUUUGAGCCGCAAGGCUCUAUUAUUUUGUGCACCGUUUGUGGGACUUGAAGGGACUGCCAAUGGCACGUGCUGUGUUGUGACAGUUACUACUAGCCCACUAAUUAUUAUAAACAUAUGUUUUUGACGUUGAGGAAUACAAUUACAUCUGUAAUAUAUAUACAACUUUCAACAGUGGAUCUCUCGGCUCUU
rnacentral:misc_RNA from 1 species